ACGGACGUCGUUCAGCGGUAGAACGCAGCUUUCAUACGGCUGAUGUCACAGGUUCGACUCCUGUCGUCCGUA
rnacentral:tRNA from 1 species